rnacentral:rRNA from 3 species
AUCUCUUGGUUCUGGCAUCGAUGAAGAACGCAGCGAAAUGCGAUAAGUAAUGUGAAUUGCAGAAUUCAGUGAAUCAUCGAAUCUUUGAACGCACAUUGCGCCCCUCGGUAUUCCGGGGGGCAUGCCUGUUCGAGCGUCAUC